CUGCGAGCUCACCAAUUAUUUGUACGGACGCAGCCAACAGUAGUUAUACUCGCCGCGUUUAGGAACUCCGUUGGAAACUGAGCUACUCUUGCUAUGUAGUGGUGAACCGAUUCGGACACUCGAACAACCUACGACCACUACAGAAUGGCUGGUCAUCACUGGUCAUCGGGAGGAGAGCAGAACGGCGAUCAAGAGCAGAUCAGUACAUAUCAGUCCGUCGUCGCGAGCCAUUGCAAGGGGCGAACCCUUGCCGUUUAUUUUAGAUUAAGCAAUAAAUGUUCGUAGUAUAGUGUAAAUAAAUGUAGUUUUUUUGUAAUAAAUGUGUUAUUUGUGAAAAACGGUGUUUGUGCUAUAUGUGAAGAGAGAUCUACGGGCGGAAUAAGGAUCAACGACGAAACCUGGGAAGGAUAAGGAGUAGGCAUUCAAGGAAAAGCAGGAAGGAUUGGAUUGGACGAAGGAAAAGGUACGUUCUGGCGAAGGUCGUGUGGAGGUCAAUUAUCUCGGUCGGAUGGUCUCCGACAUAAGCUGGUCCUUCGAACCGGAUUCUCCACAACCGCCAGACCACGGAUCGGUCGAAUCUCCACGCUUCGACCACCUCGCGCCUUGACCGUCCAGCAAAGGCCAUUCGGUGGACAAAGGAUACCGCCAUACUUACAGUACUUUCAAUAGUGCAAUCGCCAUCUAAAAGGUCCUCAAAGAAGCUAAUCGCCAUCUCAAGUCACCUGAAAGGAUCCUGCAGCCAUCAUCUGUAUAUUGAGAGGAUUAUUUCGCCAUCGUCUGGAAGGCGCUGUCCAACUGCCAUUUGGAAUCGUCAUCAAGUUCUUCGCCAACAACAUCAUCAGCGAUUAUCACCAUCAACAGUUGAUAUCAGCGAUAACGAGACUGGAACUGGAUUCGGUUAGCCCCCUUGGACCUUCAACUGGAUUGUAGAAUAACCAGAGCGUUGUUCUACUACCGUUCAGAUUAAGCAAUAAAUGUUCGUAGUAUAGUGUAAAUAAAUGUAGUUUUUUUGUAAUAAAUGUGUUAUUUGUGAAAAACGGUGUUUGUGCUAUAUGUGAAGAGAGAUCUACGGGCGGAAUAAGGAUCAACGACGAAACCUGGGAAGGAUAAGGAGUAG